rnacentral:rRNA from 1 species
CAGUCGGGAAUUUUGGGCAAUGGGCGAAAGCCUGACCCAGCAACGCCGCGUGAAGGAUGAAGUUUCUCGGAAUGUAAACUUCGUAAGAAUGGGAAGAAUAAAUGACGGUACCAUUUGUAAGGUCCGGCUAACUACGUGCCAGCAGCCGCGGUAAUACGUAGGGACCAAGCGUUGUUCGGAUUUACUGGGCGUAAAGGGAGCGUAGGCGGCAAUUCAAGUCAGUUGUGAAAUCUUCGAGCUUAACUCGGAACGGUCAACUGAUACUGCUUUGCUAGAGUACAGAAGGGGCAAUCGGAAUUCUUGGUGUAGCGGUGAAAUGCGUAGAUAUCAAGAGGAACACCUGAGGUGAAGACGGGUUGCUGGGCUGAUACUGACGCUGAGGCUCGAAAGCCAGGGGAGCAAACGGGAUUAGA